UAGCUAGCCACGCACUGGUGGCGCACGACCUGGCAUCCCAGCUACUCAGGAGGCUGAGAUCUGAGGAUCAAGAUUCAAAGCCAGCCCGGGCAGGAAAGUCUGUGAGGACUCU